GUGGUUUGACACUAAUCAUGGACUGCCCAUAAACUGAAAGAUUUACAGUGGCUCAUCUGUGCGCGUAGUGUGUGCAUGUGUGUGUAUGUUGUGUUCCGUCACCCGUGUAACCCUCCACGUGUUGACUAUUGACACAGUCCUGGUCUGAUAACGAGGCCCUUUAUAAGACUGACAGUGCAGAAAGGUCGCUCUGUAGACCCCUGAAGCUCAGAAAAGAAAACAUGCUUUCAGAAAAAGUGUUCUUGAUCAUUUGCGCCUUUGCAGUCUUGGCAAUUUCAGCUUAUCCGCUCCAUCGUGACACCAGGGAGGCAACCUGGGCUGAUUCCAAGGCCAAUCAGGCUCAUCCCAAGUUAAAAAUCACAAAAGAAGCAGAGUAAGUUUAUCUAACUAAGAACAUUAAAUUAUAAAAA